rnacentral:snoRNA from 1 species
GGGAUCGAUGAUGACCACUGGUGGCGUAUGAGUUGUGGAUGAUGAAUACGUGUCUGGAACGCUGAGGUCCCA